AUGCUCACUUUAGCAGCCCAAAAAGUAAAACAGGAAAGAAUACACAGAAGACUAGCAUGACCUCCACAUAAGGAUGAUCCACAAAUUUAUGAAGCAGUUCAUAUUUUU